UACGGAGGGUGCAAGCGUUGAUCGGAAUUACUGGGCGUAAAGCGCACGCAGGCGGUUUGUCAAGUCGGAUGUGAAAUCCCCGGGCUCAACCCGGGAACUGCAUUCGAAACUGGCAAACUUGAGUCUUGUAGAGGGGGGUAGAACUCCAGGUGUAGCGGUGAAAUGCGUAGAGAUCUGGAGGAAUACCGGUGGCGAAGGCGGCCCCCUGGACGAAGACUGACGCUCAGGUGCGAAAGCGUGGGGAGCAAACAGG
rnacentral:rRNA from 1 species